CCCCUAGUAACUGCGAGUGAAGCGGGAAAAGCUCAAAUUUGAAAUCUGGCGGUCACGCCGUCCGAGUUGUAUUCUGGAGAAGCGUUUUCUGUGCCGGACCGUGUACAAGUCCCUUGGAACAGGGCCGUCGUAGAGGGUGAGAAUCCCGUCUUUGACACGGACCCCCGGUGCUAUGUGAUGCGCUCUCGAAGAGUCGAGUUGUUUGGGAAUGCAGCUCAAAACGGGUGGUAAAUUCCAUCUAAAGCUAAAUAUUGGCGAGAGACCGAUAGCGAACAAGUACCGUGAGGGAAAGAUGAAAAGCACUUUGGAAAGAGAGUAAAACAGUACGUGAAAUUGUUGAAAGGGAAACGCUUGGAGUCAGUCACGUCCGUCGGAACUCAGCCUUGCUUCUGCUAGGUCCACUUUCCGACGGACGGGCCAGCAUCGGUUUCGAGCGGCGGACACUGGCGCGGGGAAGGUGGCGGCUCCGGCCGUGUUAUAGCCCCGCGUCGCGAACGCCGUGCGGGACCGAGGAAUCCGGCGCAAGCCUGGGAUGCUGGCGUAAUGGCUUUAAACGACCCGUCUUGAAACACGGACCAAGGAGUGCUACGUGCUCGCGAGUGUUUGGGUGGAAAACCCGAACGCGCAAUGAAAGUGAAAGUCGAUACCCCCUCGGGGGGCACCGACGCCCGAGCCUGAUGUUUUCGGAAGGCCUUGCGGUAGAGCGAGUGCGUUGCGACCCGAAAGAUGGUGAACUAUUCCUGAGGAGGGCGAAGCCAGAGGAAACUCUGGUGGAGGCUCGUAGCGGUUCUGACGUGCAAAUCGAUCGCAGGACUUGGG
rnacentral:rRNA from 1 species